AACAGGAUUAGAUACCCUGGUAGUCCACGCCGUAAACGAUGUCGACUUGGAGGUUGUGCCCUUGAGGCGUGGCUUCCGGAGCUAACGCGUUAAGUCGACCGCCUGGGGAGUACGGCCGCAAGGUUAAAACUCAAAUGAAUUGACGGGGGCCCGCACAAGCGGUGGAGCAUGUGGUUUAAUUCGAUGCAACGCGAAGAACCUUACCUACUCUUGACAUCCAGAGAACUUAGCAGAGAUGCUUUGGUGCCUUCGGGAACCCUGAGACAGGUGCUGCAUGGCUGUCGUCAGCUCGUGUUGUGAAAUGUUGGGUUAAGUCCCGCAACGAGCGUAACCCUUAUCCUUUGUUGCCAGCGGUCCGGCCGGGAACUCAAAGGAGACUGCCAGUGAUAAACUGGAGGAAGGUGGGGAUGACGUCAAGUCAUCAUGGCCCUUACGAGUAGGGCUACACACGUGCUACAAUGGCGCAUACAAAGAGAAGCGACCUCGCGAGAGCAAGCGGACCUCAUAAAGUGCGUCGUAGUCCGGAUUGGAGUCUGCAACUCGACUCCAUGAAGUCGGAAUCGCUAGUAAUCGUGGAUCAGAAUGCCACGGUGAAUACGUUCCCGGGCCUUGUACACACCGCCCGUCACACCAAGGGAGUGGGUUGCAAAAGAAGUAGGUAGCUUAACCUUCGGGAGGGCGCUUACCACUUUGUGAUUCAUGACUGGGGUGAAGUCGUAACAAGGUAACC
rnacentral:rRNA from 1 species